UACGAAGGGGGCUAGCGUUGCUCGGAAUCACUGGGCGUAAAGCGCACGUAGGCGGAUCUUUAAGUCAGGGGUGAAAUCCUGGAGCUCAACUCCAGAACUGCCUUUGAUACUGGGGAUCUCGAGUCCGGGAGAGGUGAGUGGAACUCCGAGUGUAGAGGUGAAAUUCGUAGAUAUUCGGAAGAACACCAGUGGCGAAGGCGGCUCACUGGCCCGGUACUGGCGCUGAGGUGCGAAAGCGUGGGGAGCAAACAGG
rnacentral:rRNA from 1 species